rnacentral:rRNA from 1 species
AUUGAACGCUGGCGGCAUGCCUUACACAUGCAAGUCGAACGGCAGCACGGGUGCUUGCACCUGGUGGCGAGUGGCGAACGGGUGAGUAAUACAUCGGAACAUGUCCGGUAGUGGGGGAUAGCCCGGCGAAAGCCGGAUUAAUACCGCAUACGAUCUACGGAUGAAAGCGGGGGCCCUUCGGGCCUCGCGCUAUAGGGUUGGCCGAUGGCUGAUUAGCUAGUUGGUGGGGUAAAGGCCUACCAAGGCGACGAUCAGUAGCUGGUCUGAGAGGACGACCAGCCACACUGGGACUGAGACACGGCCCAGACUCCUACGGGAGGCAGCAGUGGGGAAUUUUGGACAAUGGGCGAAAGCCUGAUCCAGCAAUGCCGCGUGUGUGAAGAAGGCCUUCGGGUUGUAAAGCACUUUUGUCCGGAAAGAAAUCCUUGGCCCUAAUACGGUCGGGGGAUGACGGUACCGGAAGAAUAAGCACCGGCUAACUACGUG